UGAGCGCGCUUUAAUCACGGUUACCGUGACAAACGGCGGCGCUCGGGGGCAAAAGAAGCGGUGCCGCCGCCGCCUUGGCUCGGCCGCGCGGCCCAUCACGUUCUAAUUUCUCAGGUGAAAGACGCUGGCAAACGGCAGCGCGUCGCAGGCGUUCAGGCACGGCCGAAUCCGUUGCUGUGCUUUGUUUUCUGGACCUUUCACAGCUGGUGAAGUCUGCAUUCGGGGCCACAGCAAUGGAACAUACUGUACACAGGGCAAGAAGCAGGAGCUGAUGACCGUAGGUCCAGAUUCCCAUGAAGCCCAGCGCCUCGAGGCCUGCUACCACCGACAUGACCCACACUGCUGCGUUUGUGUUAAAGCGGCCGGGCUCUGGAUGGACAGUACGCAGAACGGGCCCCUGAGAAAUAAAGAAAUGACUCCUAAAACGCUCGUCCUUCUGUUUCCAGGAGAAAUCAGAUCUGAGAUUACGCCGCUCAGUUCCACACAAAUACGCCAUCGACUGCUUGUGCUACUUCAAGUACGCUGAGCCAGCAUUUAUUUUGAUGCUGCAAACUGGGGUUUUCCACAUAUUCCAUUGAAAAGCAUAAGUAGAUUAUUUACUAUAAGAUGUUCAUUUCGCAUGAAAUGCUGACCCAAAAUCGACCCCUAGUUACAACCGCUGACUUUUGGGGUCAGACCGUGUCUGAAUGGCUGAUGCUGUAGAGGUUGAAGCUCCAGCGUCCUGUUUGACUGCUUCAUUUAAAAAGAUCCACUAGCGUUCACAUUUCUCAGCAUUCACUUGUAUUGUAGCUGUUUUCUCUUUGUUUUUGGAGUUAUUUUUAGCUGAGUACAGUGCGGUCAGCUGUCAUGAUUUAUAGCUGUACAGUAUGUUGGUAUCAAAGCGCCUGUAUUUUGCUUCCGUAAGAAAACAAAGCGAAGGAGUAAACUUUGAUACAGUAAAAGCUGCGUUUAGACCUCACACGGCGGCUGGAGACUGAAUAUUCCACUGUAAAGGCUUUCUUUAAGUUUGUUUAGCAUCAACACUAACAUGCUUUAUUGUAAUGAAUAUGACCUUAUCACUCUGCUGCUGUUUACUGGCAACUGGAUGUGCUUUGUGCUCCUGAAGCACUGAUGAAGCCUUUUAAAUAAAAGGUCAAGCAGCAGUAGAUGAAAGUGGCUC
rnacentral:lncRNA from 1 species